rnacentral:rRNA from 1 species
GUCUGAUUAGCUUGUUGGUGAGGUAACGGCUCACCAAGGCGACGAUCAGUAGCUGGUCUGAGAGGAUGAUCAGCCUCACUGGGACUGAGACACGGCCCAGACUCCUACGGGAGGCAGCAGUGGGGAAUAUUGGACAAUGGGCGCAAGCCUGAUCCAGCCAUGCCGCGUGGGUGAUGAAGGCCCUAGGGUUGUAAAGCCCUUUCGGCGGGGAAGAUAAUGACGGUACCCGCAGAAGAAGCCCCGGCUAACUUCGUGCCAGCAGCCGCGGUAAUACGAAGGGGGCUAGCGUUGCUCGGAAUCACUGGGCGUAAAGCGCACGUAGGCGGCUUCUUAAGUCAGGGGUGAAAUCCUGGAGCUCAACUCCAGAACUGCCUUUGAUACUGGGGAGCUCGAGUCCGGGAGAGGUGAGUGGAACUGCGAGUGUAGAGGUGAAAUUCGUAGAUAUUCGCAAGAACACCAGUGGCGAAGGCGGCUCACUGGCCCGGUACUGACGCUGAGGUGCGAAAGCGUGGGGAGCA